rnacentral:rRNA from 1 species
UACGAAGGGGGCUAGCGUUGCUCGGAAUUACUGGGCGUAAAGCGCACGUAGGCGGUCUUUUAAGUCGGGGGUGAAAUCCUGGAGCUCAACUCCAGAACUGCCUUCGAUACUGGAAGACUUGAGUCCGGGAGAGGUGAGUGGAACUGCUAGUGUAGAGGUGAAAUUCGUAGAUAUUCGCAAGAACACCAGUGGCGAAGGCGGCUCACUGGCCCGGUACUGACGCUGAGGUGCGAAAGCGUGGGGAGCAAACAGG